rnacentral:rRNA from 1 species
CUUGUAGGCGGUUUGUCGCGUCUGCUGUGAAAGCCCGGGGCUUAACUCCGGGUCUGCAGUGGGUACGGGCAGGCUAGAGUGUGGUAGGGGAGACUGGAAUUCCUGGUGUAGCGGUGAAAUGCGCAGAUAUCAGGAGGAACACCGAUGGCGAAGGCAGGUCUCUGGGCCAUUACUGACGCUGAGAAGCGAAAGCAUGGGGAGCAAACA